CGAUGUGUGUUAGACGUUGGAAAUUUAUUUCAGUGUCGCAAGGGAAACCGAUAAACACACCGCCUGGGGAGUACGACCGCAAGGUUAAAACUCAAAUGAAUUGACGGGGACCCGCACAAGUAGUGGAGCAUGUGGUUUAAUUCGAAGAUACGCGCAGAACCUUACCAACACUUGACAUGUUCGUCGCGACUCUAAGAGAUUAGAGUUUUCGGUUCGGCCGGACGAAACACAGGUGCUGCAUGGCUGUCGUCAGCUCGUGUCGUGAGAUGUUGGGUUAAGUCCCGCAACGAGCGCAACCCUCACUUUUAGUUGCCAUCAUUAAGUUGGGCACUCUGAAAGAACUGCCAGUGAUAAGCUGGAGGAAGGUGGGGGUGACGUCAAGUCCUCAUGGCCCUUACGUGUUGGGCUACACACGUGCUACAAUGGCAUCUACAACAGGAAGCAAAACGGCAACGUUAAGCAAAUCCCGAAAAGAUGCCUCAGUUCGGAUUGCACUCUGCAACUCGAGUGCAUGAAGCUGGAAUUACUAGUAAUCGUGGAUCAGCGUGCCACGGUGAAUGCGUUCCCGGGUCUUGUACACACCGCCCGUCACACCAUGGGAGUUGGUUCUACCUUAAGGCAAAUCGUCAACCUUCGGGAGACAUUUGACUACGGUACGAUCAGCAACUGGGGUGAAGUCGUAACAAGGUAACC
rnacentral:rRNA from 1 species